CUGGAUCAUCCCAUCAUUGCCGUCUCUGUUUAAAAGUCAUACAGCGGCUUGUCUGGUGGCAUAGUCGUUAAGUUCCUGUGCUCUGCUUCAGCGGCCUGGGGUUCACAAGUUCAGAUCCCGGGCACAGACCUACACACUGCUCAUCAAGCCAUGCUGUGGCAGUGUCCCAUACACAAAUUUAUAGCACAUAUUGACUUUGUUCACUUCUUUGCUCUGUCCCUCCGACUGGAAUCUAAGCUCCUGACGGUAAGAACCAGCACAGUGCCAGCAUUCAGUCGAGGUUCAAAAAACAUUUGAAAGGUGAAUUAGUUGAUUGUGACUGGGAGAAACAAAGAAAGAUAAUUCAGUAUAAAAUAAAAAGUUCUUAGCCAUUGCCCUGGGAACUUUCCCACCACUUUCAAGUCACGUUUUUUAUUGUGAUCAGUAGAUAACUGAAAUAAAUUAGUUGAAUACUGAAAAAGUAUUGACCAAGUGUUCCAGCCACGACACGGGCUUUAUCUGAGUGCGGGGUUUGUAAGAAUUCCUUCAGAGGCUACGAGGGGAACUGGCGGGGGGUGCAGUGGGCAGGGAGCAGAUGGCUUCCCCUCCCGCCUGCAUGCUUGCUUCAACUGUUCUCAUUUGUUUUAUGCAGCUUUUUUUGGGGAAAGAAAUAGCUUCUUUUUUUUUCAAGUUUGAGAAUCACUGAUCUACAGAUAAGCAAACAGCUCAUCAGAUUUUUUUUCUUAAAUAUUUGUCUAAGCGGCUAUUCUCUUACAGUAAAAAUAAUUAAUUGCUCUUUGGCAUUGCCCUCCUGAUAAUGAGAGCUAAUUUGCAUCCUCGCUCUUACCUUGAAAAGUUCAGUUGAGUUUUAAGAGUAAAGCACUCAUUUGGUUGGUUGUUUUUUUUUAAUUUUGUUUUUGAGGUGACACUGGUUUCUAACAUUAUAUAAAUUUCAGGCAUACAUCACACUUUGAUUUCUGUGAAGACUAUGUUGUGUUCACCACCCAAAGUCUAAUUGCCAUCUGAUAAAUCCUAACUUAAAAACCACUUUCAAUCAACAUUAUGGAUUUGUAAAUUCACCCUCAUGUCUGGAUCCCAACCACUUCAAAGGGUGUCACACAGAACUGGAGUCACACGGAAUCGGGCGUGAAAUGACCCUGGUGAUUUCUCAGGUGUGAUCCCGGGUAAGUCAUUUCUUUGUUUCUUACCUGCAAAAAAGGGACAAUGACACCUAUUUCACAGGGUUGUUGGGAGCAUUAUGCAAAAGCACCUUGCACACAGCAGGUGCCAAAUAAAUGGUGGUUUCUUUCCGUCAAAUAGUAUAUUCAAACUUUUUUCAAGGAUUUGUUGUACCACUUUCUCUAAUUUCAACUUUCUUAUGCUGAAGAAGGCUGGUAUUCUAUUUAUUACUCAGUAAAAUUAAAAUUUUGCUUAUAUUUUGCUUUCUGUAUAUGCCUCAAAUUAUCUCAAGUUAUUUCAAAUCAGUAAGAGGCUAAAGGUCUUUCUAAAAACAUAACUAAAAGAGGCUAAAUAAUAAAUGACAUAUCUCAAAGAAUAUAUAUUUCCUAUCUUGAUUUACACAUGACCUUUUGAAACUGGCAUACACGUCAUCAGCGGGCGUAAUGCCCUAUCAACAGAUGGAUGUGAUCGCUCAGGUGCCAGAAAUCCGGGCUGGCCACAGCUCACGUAGUGUUAAAAUGGUGACAGUUCUUGUAAUUGGUCAUCUGUUCCCAGUAAUAAGUCUACUAGAAAUAGAAAACAAAUUCUGAAGUACAUGAAUGUUUAUUCAAUCUU
ensembl:lncRNA